rnacentral:misc_RNA from 1 species
GAAAUGCGAUAAGUAAUGUGAAUUGCAGAAUUCAGUGAAUCAUCGAAUCUUUGAACGCACAUUGCGCCCGCCAAUAUUCUGGCAGGCAUGCCUGUCCGAGCGUCAUUUCAACCCUCAGGCCCCCAGUGCCUGGCGUUGGGGAUCGGCGCGGCGGCCCUCUCGGGGGACGCUGCCGGCCCCGAAAUUCAGUGGCGGUCUCGCUGUAGCCCUCCUCCGCGUAGUAGCACAACCUCGCGGCCUGGAGCUCGGCGGUGGCCAUGCCGUAAAACACCCCACUUCUGAAAGUUGACCUCGGAUCAGGUAGGAAUACCCGCUGAACUUAA